UUGACCUAAACAUGGCUCUACCAUAGUUAGUUAAUUCGGAUUCGGCAAAAAUUCGGUACGAGUAUAAUUCGGAUAAAAUUCGUCUUCUAAUUUUUAAAUUCGUUAAAAAAUACGGUUAAAAAACGGAUUCGGUAAUUAUUCGAAUACGUGAUUUAUACGGAUAUUAAACGUUCACCGAUUAAAAAUUCGGAAUCAAAAAUUCGACUAUUAAAUUAAAUUUUUUUCUCUCAAAAUUUAUGCUAUUAGCAUAAAUACUCAUAUUUUUUAAAAAUAUAAAAAUAAAAAGAUAAAAAAUUAAGCUAAUUAAGUAAAAAAAAUAACAAACUAUAUUAUUCUUAUAAAUAAAAUAUUAUAUAAUAAUAUUUUUAUAUAAAAAUAUAAUACUAUGUAUAAUAAAUAAAU
rnacentral:lncRNA from 1 species